rnacentral:rRNA from 1 species
UACGUAGGGGGCAAGCGUUGUCCGGAUUCAUUGGGCGUAAAGAGCGUGUAGGCGGCCAGGUAGGUCGGUUGUGAAAACUGGAGGCUCAACCUUCAGAGGUCGACCGAAACCAUCUGGCUAGAGUCCGGGAGAGGAGAGUGGAAUUCCUGGUGUAGCGGUGAAAUGCGUAGAUAUCAGGAGGAACACCGGUGGCGAAAGCGCUCAUCUAGCCCAAUACUGACGCUGAGGCGCGAAAGCUAGGGGAGCAAACGGG